GGUCAUGAGCGCCAGCAUCAAGCCCCGGCUUGCUGGCCGGCAACCCUCCAACCGCGGUGGGGUGCUCCGGGUGAAGACCAGGUUGAGUAGCUGUGACGGCUACGCGGCAAGCGCGGGUC
rnacentral:ncRNA from 2 species